UUCUUGGUGGCGCCAAUGUAGAACCUGAGCCCGAUGCCAUCUCUUAACUUGCCGCCGCUUGAGGGAUGCUGCGCUUCCGUCCAUCGCCUCGGGGUGCGAUUUCCGGCGAGACUGCCGUGUCUGGAUUUCAUUCGCCACCGUUGGCAGAUUCCGAGAAUCGGCGAAGUCGCCACAGCUCUGGUUCAGUGCGUCGUCAUUCCCGAUUUAGAGCUGGCAGUAGUCUCCCCCCUCCAACCUAAAGCUAAGUUUUAAACUUGCUUCUUCUUCUUUUCAUUGCAAUGAAGUAUCGAUACACAUAGAGGCUUAUUCGAGCAAGAGAAGUCAGAGCUUAAUUGUUCUAAAAGUGAGCAUGUUGUGGUUGUAUUUGUUCGUCUAUCAGUAAUAGUGGUGAGUUAAAGUGUUCCCCAUAUUCUGUGUCUGUGGAGUCUAUUGUUGUUCAUCGAAUACAUGAAUCAGAUGUAACAUAUCUCUAUAUCCCUAGAGUAAAGGCAGUGUAGUCUGCUGUUGCUACAUAAACUUAUGUGAAUAACUAAUCAUGCUCAUCUCCGAUUAGCAGCAUUCAUUAAAAAAAUCAUGCUAUGAUGAUGCGUGAAGCAUGUACAUGGAGAUAGUGAACUGGGAUAACGUAUAAUACCUUGAGGAUAUGGAUGUGGUGGCUGUUUGCUGCUGUGUUGAAUUAAAUGCAGGGGAUGGAAAUUGAAAUAGAGUAAUCUUGGUAACUACCUUAAUGAAUGAAGGUGAAAUUGUGGCAGGGAGUAUUAAAGUUCAAGGUGAAGCUUACCUCGAAAUAGCUUGGUGUUGGUUAUAUUAUCUGCUGCUGUAGUUGACUGAUCUUAAUUGGGGGUAACUGAAACAUAACAGUGGUUAUUCUUGCAUUAAUGCAGGUGAAAUCUUGGAGGAGUUGAAGAGAGUUAAAGAAGUUUACCUCAUUGGCAGAGAUGGAUGAAUGAUUUCCUCUCUUCUUCACGUGAGCUGUUAGAGUAUAAUGGAGAAGGAGUGUUAGGAGGUUGUUUGCUGAAAUGAUAGGUAAAAAGGGUUGAAGGCUGGCUGGAGCUUGAGUACCUACUAAAUGGUAGGGUGGCUGAUGUGAGUCCUAUGUGUACCUUGGGUAUGGCUGUUGUGGCAGAGGUGGAGUGCUUACUGCUGUUGCAGUUGCUGCAGAAAAUGGGGAGGGGACGCAACUGAUCUUAUUCUCCCCUCUCCCUUUAUUACUCCUUCCGUCCACCAAAAAAACUCCCAGUUGGAGUUCGGCAUGGAGACUAAAAUAGCUGAAAAAGGUGGUGUAAAAGACUAAAAGGAUAGUGUUUAUGUAUUGUGAUUACUUUUACUAAUCUUCCACUAACUAUUUGAUAAUAAUAAUAAUAAUAACAACAAUAAUAAUAAUAAUAACAAUAACAAUAACAAUAAUAAUAAUAAGGAUAAUAAUAAUAAUAAUAAUAACAAUAAUAAUAACAAUAACAAUAACAAUAAUAAGAAUAAGAAUAAUAAUAAUAACAAUAAUAAUAAUAAUAAUAACAACAAUAAUAAUAAUAAUAAUAAUAAUAAUAAUAAUAAUAAUAAUAACAACAACAAAAACAACAACAAUAAUAAUAAUCAUAAUAAUAAUAACAAUAACAAUAUUAUAAUAAUAAUAAUAAUAAUAAUAAUAAUAAUAACAACAAUAAUAAGAAUAAUAAGAAUAAGAAUAACAAUAAUAAGGAUAAUAAUAAGGAUAACGAUAAUAAUAAUAAUAAUAAUAACAAUAAUAAUAAUAAUAACAAUAACAAUAAUAAUAAUAAUAAUAAUAGUCGUAAAAAUAAUAAUAAUAAUAAUAAUAAUAAUAAUAAUAAUAAUAACAACAACAAUAACAAUAACAAUAAGGAUAAUAACAAUAAUUAAUUAAAUGAGAUUUUAUUAAAAAAGAGAAGAAAAAACAGACCUAAAACCCUUGAGAACACAGAGGAGUUAACUAAGGGCCGAGCCUCAUUAAAACCCUUUUAAGGCAAACCCAAACGGGAAAAUCCUUAAAAGGGAAAAAGAGUGCUCGUCUAGAAAAGACUGCGAGGGAGCGGAGAAGAGACAGCUUCAGAAGUUCCGGCCUAACCAUCACCCCUAAGCCGCUCGGCUCCCAAACGCAGCGAAAGCAAACAAACAAAAACGAAAAAAACAACAAAAAAACCCAGCAAAAGAGACAGAAAAAACCACACCGUUCCUCCAAACGAAAAAAACCAACGAAGCCCAAGAGAACUGGCCUAUCAAAACACGAAAACAGAGGGCCACCCAAACCCAGCAGAACAAUCCAGCCGUUCUUCAAGCAAAACGAACUCGGACGCAGAGUACGGCGACCCCGGCCGCGAACACCUGCUCUCAUGCCCAUUCUAGAACGCUCCUUGCAACAAGGAAGUCCAACGACAAACCUAGGAGAAAGAAAGUGAUAGAACACCAAGACUACCGUUCAUCAACGACCCAAACAACGGAGCCAUAAAAACUCGACGCCGACGCAACAACAACAACGCCGCGGAGCUUCCCAGACGAACCAAAACUCACAGCCCCAGUUCCGAGCUCACCCGGAAGCUGAAAAAAGGCCCUGAUCUUGGUCCCUAACCAACACCAACGACAAUCCAGCAAAAAACCCGCACAAAGAAACCAAUAAGUAAUAGGAACCCAAAGCGCCGACCAGAUGUUUGUGAAAAAUCCAAGCUUGUCAAAACAUAAAAGAUGCGGUCCCUCCAAGCAAAGACGCCAUCCCAGGAGGGAAUCAGCAUGAUUAUCAAAAGAAAAGGGUGAUAGAACACCAUGGCUCCCGUUCAUCAACGACCCGAACAACAGGACCAAAAACUCAACGCCGACGCAUCUGCUAGCAACGUCGCGGAGCUUCCAAAACGAACCAAAACUCAUAGCCCCAGCUCCGAGCUCACCCGGAAACUGAAAAAAGGCUAAGAGAUUAGUCCCUAAACCCCCGCCCCUGUCAAACCAUCUCAUACCCGCACAGAACUCCCAUCUUCUAUCAAACAACCAGAACGCAUACCAGGUGUUUGUGAAAGAGUCCAGGCAGCCAACGAGCAAGUAUAGCUUCUGCCACAUCCAAAGCCCAAUCAUCCGCGAAUGCGUAUAUGGCUGUGAGUGGCCAUGUCCGUCCUGACCGCUUUUUUGAUGGCCUCGACCUCGUGCGGCCACCACCCCUCCAUCAUGUUUUGAUUGGCCAUAAUGUCCGCAGGUUUGUUGCCUUCACGAUAGAUAUGCGUAACUUGAAGAUUAAAAUUUUGUAACAGACCAAGAGUAUACUUCCAAGAAGCAAAAAAACGCCAAGGCACGUUAGAAGAUCGAGAAUUCAAAACUUAUGUGAAUAACUAAUCAUGCUCAUCUCCGAUUAGCAGCAUUCAUUAAAAAAAUCAUGCUAUGAUGAUGCGUGAAGCAUGUACAUGGAGAUAGUGAACUGGGAUAACGUAUAAUACCUUGAGGAUAUGGAUGUGGUGGCUGUUUGCUGCUGUGUUGAAUUAAAUGCAGGGGAUGGAAAUUGAAAUAGAGUAAUCUUGGUAACUACCUUAAUGAAUGAAGGUGAAAUUGUGGCAGGGAGUAUUAAAGUUCAAGGUGAAGCUUACCUCGAAAUAGCUUGGUGUUGGUUAUAUUAUCUGCUGCUGUAGUUGACUGAUCUUAAUUGGGGGUAACUGAAACAUAACAGUGGUUAUUCUUGCAUUAAUGCAGGUGAAAUCUUGGAGGAGUUGAAGAGAGUUAAAGAAGUUUACCUCAUUGGCAGAGAUGGAUGAAUGAUUUCCUCUCUUCUUCACGUGAGCUGUUAGAGUAUAAUGGAGAAGGAGUGUUAGGAGGUUGUUUGCUGAAAUGAUAGGUAAAAAGGGUUGAAGGCUGGCUGGAGCUUGAGUACCUACUAAAUGGUAGGGUGGCUGAUGUCGAGUCCCUAUGUGUACCUUGGGGUAUGGCUGUUGUGGCAGAGGUGGAGUGCUUACUGCUGUUGCAGUUGCUGCAGAAAAUGGGGAGGGGACGCAACUGAUCUUAUUCUCCCCUCUCCCUUUAUUACUCCUUCCGUCCACCAAAAAAACUCCCAGUUGGAGUUCGGCAUGGAGACUAAAAAUAGCUGAAAAAGGUGGUGUAAAAGACUAAAAGGAUAGUGUUUAUGUAUUGUGAUUACUUUUACUAAUCUUCCACUAACUAUUUGAUAAUAAUAAUAAUAAUAACAACAACAAUAAUAAUAAUAACAACAAUAAUAAUAAUAAUAACAAUAACAAUAACAAUAAUAAUAAUAAGGAUAAUAAUAAUAAUAAUAAUAACAAUAAUAAUAACAAUAACAAUAACAAUAAUAAGAAUAAGAAUAAUAAUAAUAACA
rnacentral:lncRNA from 1 species